UCUAACAUUGUUCUCUUAAAUAAUUCAAUAAACUAGGUUAACAAAAAAAAAAAAGACAAACGACAACGGCAAUACACUAAUAAAAUAAAGGGUAAAAUAUGUUUUUCAUCCCUGUAAUUAUGGGCCAUUUGAUUUUUCAUCCCUGAACUUACUAAUCCUCCCAUUUUGCCCCCGUAAUUACUAAUCAUUUGAAAAUUCGUCCUAAUUACAAAAUUUUGCUGAGGUGGAGGGUGAUUAGCUACGUGGCACUUAGUGACUGGGGUUUUGGCAGGACACAUCAGCAGAUGGGGAGGGAAAUGACAAUUUUGCCCUUAAUGAGUCUGGUUUCGCGCGGAAUGACCGUUUUACCCCUGCCUCCUUCUUUCCUUCUUCACGUAUUCUUCUUCUCUUCUUCUCAAAUAGAAACACGAAAUUGGAGGGAAAAUGUUCUAGGGUUUAGGGUUGAAACGCGAAUUGGGGAAAAUUGGUGAGAAGAUUUCGAUUGGAACUCGAUUGGCUCCGGAAAUUGGUGUUGGAAUCUCUAUUGGAACGCAAAGCACUAAAUCGAACUCGUUGCAGAAAGGUAACGUGAAGAAGAAAAACCCAAGUACCUUCGUUUGUUUGUAUAAAUAUGCAAUUUUUGUUUGUUUUUUCCGUGAAAUAGAUGAUAAAAAACAUGUGGGUUUCUAUUUUCGCAUGCUUAGUGUGGUGUAUUUUUGUACCAUUGUUGUGUUGCUGAGUGAGUGUAUUUUUGUUUCAGAAUGUCUAUAUCUGUUUUAGUUCACUAUGGAGGACGUUUUGUUAGGGAUUGGUUAAUCAAUUACAGUGGGGGGAAUGUAAAACUGUUUGAAGGUCUAGAUAUUGAGAAGUGGAGUUUUUUUGAAAUAUGUGGUAUUGUAGAAAAAGAUUUGGAGGUUAAAAAGCCAUAUAGGUUGUGGUGGAUGCCUGAUGAGGAUGUUGACUUUAGGAUCAUAAGAUUAGAUUAGGAUGCAAUUGAGAUUAAGGAUUAUGCUGUUAAAAAAAACAGGGCUGCUAACAUAUUUGUUGAGCAUGAUGUAGAUGAAGAAAGUCAGUUAGUAGACAUUCCAAACUGUGUGAUUAGUAGUCAAGUAGGUGAAAGAUCAAAAUGUGUCAAGGGUAAUGAAUUAGUUGAAAGUUCAGAAGCCAAUAGGUACAUUGAGAAAGGAAAGGCAGUUAUGGUAUGUCCUGAUGAAGACAAUGUGGAUGAGGGUGGUUCAGGUAGUAGUGAUGAAGAUGAGGAUGAGGCAUAUGAUCACUUUGAUGACAGUGAGGAUGAUAGGGCACUUUGUCUUGAGGAUAGGUUUGAGCCAUAUGAUAAAAACCCUCUAGAUUUUGAAUACAGUGAUGAUUAUAUGGAUGGUGUUGAUGGUGUUGUUGAUAAUUCAUACAAACCUUCAAAUGAUAAACCUGAUAAGCCUAUGAAACCAAAGAAAAAAGCAAAGGUUGUUGAACAAGAACAACAUGCUGACCCUGAAUGGGAGAAGGACUAUCUUAGUGAAGAAUUACUAUCAGAUGACCCUGAUGAUUCUGAUUCUGAGGGAUUGUCAAGAUACCCUGAAUUUAAGAUGGGUGAACUAACAAAGGACUAUAAGUUCAAAGUUGGUAUGGACUUUAAGUCAAUUGCAGAGUUCAAGGAGGCAAUUAGUGAGUGGUCAGUAUUAAACUUAAGACAGAUAAAGUUUGUGAAACAAGACAAGGAAAGAUGUAGGGCAGUGUGUAAAGAUAUAAAAUGCAAUUAUGUGGUUCAUUGUAGCAAAGUGGCAGACAGCCACACAUUUAAAAUAAAGACAUUAAGUGGGGACCACACAUGUGCCAAGUCUAUUAAAAAAACAAUUGCUACUUCCAAGUGGGUGACAAAGGAAGUGCUUCCAAAGAUAAUGACAACUGGUGAUAUGCCUGUCAAAGAUAUAAUGAAGGACUUGAGGAGGAAAUAUUCAGUGGGUGUAUCUUUCCAUGUAGCUUGGAAGGCAAAGAAAAUGGCUAAAGAAAUCAUUGAAGGUGAUGCUAAGAAACAAUAUACUCUGCUUUGGAGGUAUGCUGCUGAGUUGCACAGAGUUUCAUUGGGAAAUACCCUCAAGAUUAAUGUGGAGAGAACACUGUUAACAAAUCAACCAAGGUUCAACAAGUUUUAUUUCUGUUUUGAAGGUUGUAAAAAAGGAUUUUUGAGUGGAUGUAGGCCUUUCAUUGGAGUGGAUGGAUGCCAUCUGAAAACAAUGUAUGGAGGAAUACUACUGGUUGCUGUUGGAAGAGAUGCAAAUGAUCAGUAUUACCCAUUGGCUUUUGGAGUGGUUGAGAAUGAGACUAAUGAAGCUUGGAGAUGGUUCUUGACAUUGCUACUUAAUGAUAUUGGCACUGACAGGAGAUGGGUCUUUAUAACAGACCAACAAAAGGUAAAUAGUUUAUGUUUUGAGACUAAUUUGUACUUAUGUUUUGUUAUGCUGUGUGUACUUAUGUUUUCUUUUGCUAUGUGUGUACUCUAGGGAUUGAUUCCAGUUUUAGAAGAAUGGUCUGACAGGCUUGAACAUAGGUUGUGUUUGAGACAUUUAUAUGCUAACUUCAAGAAGAAGUUUGGAGGAGGGACCUUGAUUAGAGACUUGAUGAUGGGAGCAGCAAAGGCAACAUAUUUCCAAGGUAUCUUGAUUAUUUUAUUAUUGGUAUUCAUAAUAUUCAUAAUGAUGAUGAGUUUUAAUUUGUAUUUUUCUAUUCAUGAAUAAAGCUUGGGAUGCAAAGAUGAAUGAGCUCAAGAAGGUUGAUCAUGCUGCAUGGGAAUGGCUGAGAGGUCACAACCCAAAAUUAUGGUGUAAGCAUGCCUUCUCCUAUUAUCCCAAGUGUGAUGUGCUGAUGAAUAAUAUAUCUGAGUCUUUUAAUGCAACAAUCUUGUUAGCUAGGGACAAACCAAUACUAACAAUGGCUGAGUGGAUUAGAACUUAUAUUAUGAAUAGGAUAUCAAGCCUUAGAGAGAAACUUAGUAAAUGGGAACAAAAUAUCAUGCCUAUGCCUAAGAAAAGACUGAAUACUGAGAUACAAAAGGCUGGUAAUUGGAUUGCAACUUGGGGAAAUGGUGAGGAGUUUGAGGUUGAAAUGAUUGGUGGUGGGCAGAGAUUUACUGUGGACAUGGGGAAAAGAACUUGUAGUUGUAAUUUUUGGGAGCUAGUAGGUAUACCUUGCAGACAUGCUAUUGUUGCAAUGUCUAAGACAGACCAAAACCCAGAGGGCUAUGUUUCUGAAUGGUAUACUAGGAGCAAGUAUGAAGCAUGUUAUAACUUCAAUGUGAGUGCUAUAAAUGGUCAAGAUAUGUGGCCUGAAGUUGAAUGUGAGGAGAUGCUUCCUCCUGUGUACAUCAAAGGACCAGGAAGACCUAAGAAACUAAGGAGGAGAGAGCCUGAUGAGCCAGCAAAAUCAUGUGGGAAAUUUAGCAGAGGUGCUAGUAAGUACAAGUGCACAAGAUGUGGGAGUUGUGGUCACAAUGCUAGAGGUUGCAAAAGUCAGACAAUGAACCCAGAAGCACAAAAAAGAAAGGUAUUUUACUUCUGUCAAAAUAUUGAUCAAUAUUUCUUGUCAGUUUAUCUCUAACUAUAUUGAUUUAUAAUUUGCAAACAGAAGAAACAACCAAAGAAGCAAAAUCAAACACAACAACAAAGUGCUCAAGUCUCUCAAGAACAGUCUGCUCAACAUGAAACACAAAGUGCUCAAGCAAGUCAAAGUGGGGAGACCAAUCCAGUUCAAACUGAAGUAAGUCAAAGUGGAGGGGCCAAUCCAGUUCAAAUUGAAGCAAGUCAAAGUGGGGGGGCCAAUCCAAUUCAGACUCAAACAAGUCAAAGUUUUGAUACUAAUCAAACAAAAGUUGAUAAAGUUCAAAGGAAGGUAAAUUGUUUAUUAUAUGCUACUAAUUUGUUUAUUAUAUGCUACUUUGACAGAGAAAAACAUCAACUCAAGGAAAUCAAACAGAAGUUACUGAAGGCAGUUUUAGUGUUGGUACUGGAUCAACAAACACUGAAGUGGGGGUAAAUGGGAAUAAGAAAAGGAAGCUGGUUAAAUCUGCUAUGUGCAAUGGUAAAUUCAAGCCACCUGCACCUGCACAUUCUCUUCCUUCCAGACCAGUUAAAGCUCCAAUCACCAAACCUACAGUUGCAUUUAUGUCAACCUACAUGAAACCAAAUUCAUCCACAACUGUCAACCCCACUGCACAGGUUCAUACCGAUGUUCAUUCUGCUCCAACCUCCAAAACUAUUGUCAAACCAACUACAAUAGUUUCCACAAAUGUCAAGACUGCCCAAAACACACACAACAUCAUUAACCCAUCUGCAAUUGUCAACACAACAGUCAACACUACACCAACUUCUCAAACAUUUACUUCUAAAACAUUUGUCAAGCCAUACACCAUUGUGAAAACAAUUAUUGAACCUGUCUUAAAGAAACGUCCACCAAAUCCAGCAACUAAGGUGAGGAGAAGUCGUAGGACUGCUUGGAAAAAUAAUGCUAACUUCAAAGGGCCUGGAAAAGCAAUAGAUGAUCCAAUUGAAGUGGCAGAUGAUGAUAACCAUGCUAAGACACAACAUGCUACAAAAACUGCUGGUGAUACUUCAAAAACUGUUGGUGAUACUUCAAAAGCUGCUGGUGAUGCUAAAGAUGGAUCCUGUUUAGGCCUGUUGAAAAAAAUUGACACAAUUAAAUAUGUUUAAUUGGGCUAGCAAUGUUUUGAUGUUGUCUUUUUUGGUGUAAUAUGUGGCUUGGACCAAGUUAUCUGCUAAUUAUGUAGCUUAGCCAUCUUUUGAUGUUAAUGUACCUAUUGGCUUAGACCUUAAAUGUUUAGCUUAGCCAUCUUUUGAUGCUAAUUUACAUAUUGGCUUAGACCUUAAAUGUUUCUUCCUUUGAUGACAAUGUUAUGCUAUUUGAGUAAAUGUUAUUCUAUUUCAUUACAAUCAUGGGAUACACCAUCUUUGUUGCACAAAGUGAUUGAUGCUUCUGUAAAAACACAAACUUAAACAACACAAACUUAAACACUUUCUUGCAAUCACAUUACAAUUCAUUUAGAUUGAAAUACAACACACAUUCAUUUAUAUUGAAUUACAACACUUAACACACAAACACUUAACAAACUAAACAUAAAGCCUAAACAUAAACACACUACCAAUGGAUCCACUUCAUUACAUAACAACCAACUACAACCCUAACUUAAACAAACUAACACUGCAAUCGGAAUCCAACUUGCCACCAGAUGCAACUUCAGCCAUUACUUUCUUCCAUAAAACACACAAAAGAGAACCCAACUUGCCACCAGACUCCACUUCAGCUAUGCCACUUUCUUUUUCUCAGCUAACAUCUUCUUCUUCCACUUAUCUUUCUUCAAGUCAUAAAUUCCUUCCAUAGCUUCAACACAAUUACACUUCUUUUCUUUAAACUCCACUUCUUCCUCAACCUUCACCUUCUCUUCUGUCACUUCAACCAUUGGCCUUGUACCAGCAGCAAGCUCAUCAUCCCAAAUCAACAACUAACAUGUAUUUUUUUUCAUCCAAUUGCGACACUUCCAAAAUCGACGUCCUUGAUUCGCUCUUGUGUUAGCAAUGUAGAUGACCAUGGGCAACUCACAACGGCACAUUGGAAGCAUUCCACAGGAAGUUUCGAAUUCACCGUACAAUAAAGAACCAUACGUGUACCCUGUACUGCUGUUUCCAGUUGACAUUUUCGAACUGGAGAAAGUAAAUCUGAGAUGAGGGAAUGCGAGUGAAGGUUCAAUGGAGAAGAAAAGUGGAUGUUUUAGGGUUUCAGAAAGCAAGAAGUACGAUUGAGAAGAAGAGAAGAAGAAUACGUGAAGAAGGAAAGAAGGAGGCAGGGGUAAAACGGUCAUUCCGCACGAAACCAGACUCAUUAAGGGCAAAAUUGUCAUUUCCCUCCCCAUCUGCUGAUGUGUCCUGCCAAAACCCCAGUCACUAAGUGCCACGUAGCUAAUCACCCUCCACCUCAGCAAAAUUUUGUAAUUAGGACGAAUUUUCAAAUGAUUAGUAAUUACAGGGGCAAAAUGGGAGGAUUAGUAAGCUCAUGGAUGAAAAAUCAAAUGGCCCAUAAUUACAGGGAUGAAAAGCAUAUUUUACCCUAAAAUAAAAGAUCCUCAGUAGAAUUUGCCCUUCUAUUCCUGGUCUAUUGAUUACAAAAUCUAGCCCUUCAAUUCUACCAAUGAGACAUUGUAAUUCUUCAACUCACAACAGAACAGACCUGCAUAAAACACGUUAGUGGAAAGUUUUAUCACCAUAUCCUACACUGCUUUCCCAAAUAAAGAAGAGCAAAACUAGAAGUAAAGGAAUUUCCCGAUCUUGCUUCCAAAGCUAUAGAACAAUGAUAAAACACUUUUCAACUCUACACUACAUACAAAUUCGGGAGGUUUUGAUUUAAGACAGUCACGGGAAUUGGGAGAGUAUAUAUUAGGAAAUUGGUUGCCAACAUGUAUGUCAUUAGUUAAUUCAAAAAUGUAUGUAUGAAAAUCAACCCCCAUAAGAUCAAAUCAACCACUUCUCCGACUGUAUAUGGCAUAGUCUCUUGCAUGUAGUGAGGCAUAGUCUCUUCCUUGUAGUGAGGAAUGCGGGAAUGAACCAUGAUAGGGAUUUGAAGCUACCGCAUUUUGAUGAAAUGUCUGAAGAUAGCCCCCGGGUAUUUGUUGGCAAACAUGAUGAGACUGUGAGGAAGGAUUAUAAGAACCUUGGAAACCAGCUGGGUUUAAGCCAAAAUGAGGAGGAACAUGUCCUGGAACAUAACCAUGAUGCUCCAUAAAAUCUGUACUAUGUGUAGCAAACGAUGAUUGAUAUCGAGAUAGGUAGGGAAGUGGGGGAGGGAAAGAAGCAAGUCGAUUGAGCACAUUACUGCUAGGAUGUACAUGCACCUUACCUGUAGGAGUGUUCUUAUUUUUAUUGGUGUUGCUAGUAGAAGUGCCCUCAACUCCAUUGGGCACAUUACUACUAGGAGGUACAUGCACCUGAUCUGCACCCCGGGGUUCAGUUUGAUGAAAAUCCCCAGCCUGGUUUUUAACUAUGCGUCUCUUUUUCGGUGGACGGGGAUUAUGCAAAGUAGGAGGGUUAUUCUUAUUUCCAUUGAUGUUGCUAGUAGAAGUACCCUCAACGCCUAGAGUAAAAGCCAUAGGUUUUCCAAACAAAUGGUCCAUUAACUCAAUUCCCUGGAUCUCGCCGUUUAAAAACCGUGAAAGGUAGUCAAUGGAAUUAUGGAUACAUUUGUAGAUCGUCUUAAACCCUUCAGCUCUAACUGCUCGAGCAACAUUUUGUGAUAGAUCUGUAAAAUCCUCCAC
rnacentral:lncRNA from 1 species